UACGGAGGGUGCAAGCGUUAUCCGGAUUUACUGGGUUUAAAGGGUGUGUAGGCGGUCUGUUAAGUCAGUGGUGAAAUCUCCGGGCUCAACCCGGAAACUGCCAUUGAUACUAUUAGUCUUGAAUUUUGUUGAGGUAGGCGGAAUAAGUCAUGUAGCGGUGAAAUGCAUAGAUAUGACUUAGAACACCAAUUGCGAAGGCAGCUUGCUAAACAAAUAUUGACGCUGAGGCACGAAAGCGUGGGGAUCAAACAGG
rnacentral:rRNA from 1 species